rnacentral:rRNA from 1 species
AUUUUACUUUAUUGCUACUAUAAUCAUUUAGAUAUUUAUUGAAAACCUAAUAUGAGUUAAAAAAGUAAUUAUUAAUAAAAUUUAAUCCUGGAGCUAUAGAUAAUAAGUACUGAAUAGGAAAUAAAUGUAUGAGUAUUUUAAAAUAACUAAGUAAAUCUAAAUUGUUGUACCUUGUGUAUCAGGGAUAAUUAAAUUAUGACAAGUAUAUUUUGUAAUUCCCGAACUAAAGAUAGCUAAUACUUUAAACAAGUUUUUGUAUCAAAAAAAUUUGUAAUUUGGUAUUAAAGAUGAAACAUUAAACGAGCUUUAAAUUAUCUGGUUCUCUAGGAAUGAAAUAUAAUUUUACUAUUAGAUUAAAUUCAUUUAAUAUUGAAGAAUAGGAGGGACGAGCUUCUUAUUACUAAAAAAAUUAAUUUACAGACGAAAUAAAAUACAACCUUUUCUAGGCUUAAAAGUAGCUAUGAUUAUAAAGUGUUUCAAUUUAGGUUUGAUUUUUAAAUGAUUUAUUUUGUCUUUAUAGUGUACUAGAGUAUUAACUGAGACUUAAAUAUUUAAGGAAAAAUGAUUAUAUGAGUAAAGUUUAAUUGUGAAGAUAAAAGAUUUUAAAAUAGGUUAAACAAAUUAUAAGAAGUGUAGGAAAUAAAAAAGGAACUCGGCAAAUCUUUCUUCUUGCCUGUUUAUCAAAAACAUGGCUAUUAUGAAAAUGUUUAUAGUCUAGCCUGCUCACUGAUAUAGAUAUUAAAUAGCCGCGGUAUCUUGACCGUGCAAAGGUAGCAUAAUCAUUAGUUUUUUAAUUGAAAACUUGUAUGAAUGGUUGGACAAAGAAGAGACUGUCUCUUUUAUUAAAAUUGAAUUUAACUUUUAAGUGAAAAGGCUUAAAUUUUUCAAAGGGACGAUAAGACCCUAUAAAGCUUUAUAAUUUUAAAGAUUUUAUAUAUUUUUCUAUAGUGAUAAUUUCUUGAAAAAUUUAUUUGGUUGGGGCGACAAUAGUAUAAUUAGAAUAACUGCUUUAAAUUAAUACAAAUAUAUUUGAGUUAGAAUUAGCUGAUCCUUUAUAAAGAUUUUAAGAUCAAGUUACUUUAGGGAUAACAGCGUUAUUUUUCCUGAGAGUCCUUAUCAAAGGAAGAGUUUGCGACCUCGAUGUUGAAUUAAAAUGUCUUUAUAGUGCAGCAGCUAUAAAAGAAGGUCUGUUCGACCUUUAAUAUUUUACAUGAUUUGAGUUCAGACCGGCGAGAGCCAGGUCGGUUUCUAUCUUUUGGAAAGAAAUAAUUUACCUUAGUACGAAAGGAUUGGGUAGAUAAAAAGUUUUUAAUAGUUGAAAU